GCCUGUUCAGGCCCAGCUCCUCUGCUCCCUACAGCCCACUCUGUUCCAGGCACCUCACUCAUCAGCCCUGUUCUUAAGUGCCUCUGUUGGAACAGCUCAAGUUGUUCCCCGUGCCUAGAAUGCUUUUCUUCCUGCUCUCCUGCCUCUCCCCUUCCUACCACCCAUUAAGGAGUCUCAUUGCUGUGGUUACGAUUCAUAAAUAGCUACACCUAGUGAGCAUCAGCUCCAUGCCAGGGAUGAGACAAAGAGCUCUGUGCACAUGAUCUCAGGUGGCCUUCACUUG
rnacentral:lncRNA from 1 species